rnacentral:rRNA from 1 species
ACGGGGACCCGCACAAGCGGUGGAUGAUGUGGUUUAAUUCGAUGCAACGCGAAAAACCUUACCCACCUUUGACAUGUACGGAACCCUUUAGAGAUAGAGGGGUGCUCGAAAGAGAGCCGUAACACAGGUGCUGCAUGGCUGUCGUCAGCUCGUGUCGUGAGAUGUUGGGUUAAGUCCCGCAACGAGCGCAACCCUUGUCAUUAGUUGCUACAUUCAGUUGGGCACUCUAAUGAGACUGCCGGUAAAAAGCCGGAGGAAGGUGAGGAUGAUGUCAAAUCAUCAUGCCCCUUAUGUUCUGGGCUACACACGUGCUACAAUGGCCGGUACAGACGGAGGCGAAGCCGCGAGGCGGAGCAAAUCCGAAAAAGCCGGUCUCAGUUCGGAUUGCAGGCUGCAAUUCGCCUGCAUGAAGUCGGAAUCGCUAGUAAUCGCAGGUCAGCAUACUGCGGUGAAUACGUUCCCGGGCCUU